GACGAACGCUGGCGGCGUGCUUAACACAUGCAAGUCGUACGGUAAGGCCCUUUCGGGGGUACACGAGUGGCGAACGGGUGAGUAACACGUGAGUAACCUGCCCACAACUUUGGGAUAACGCUAGGAAACUGGUGCUAAUACUGGAUAUGUGCUCCUGCUGCAUGGUGGGGGUUGGAAAGCUCCGGCGGUUGUGGAUGGACUCGCGGCCUAUCAGCUUGUUGGUGGGGUAGUGGCCUACCAAGGCGGCAACGGGUAGCCGGCCUGAGAGGGUGACCGGCCACAGUGGGACUGAGAUACGGCCCAGACUCCUACGGGAGGCAGCAGUGGGGAAUAUUGCACAAUGGGCGCAAGCCUGAUGCAGCAACGCCGCGUGCGGGAUGACGGCCUUCGGGUUGUAAACCGCUUUCAGCAGGGACGAAGCUUUUUGUGACGGUACCUGCAGAAGAAGCACCGGCUAACUACGUG
rnacentral:rRNA from 1 species